GACGAACGCUGGCGGCGUGCCUAACACAUGCAAGUCGAACGGAGUCAUUUUGGAAAGUUCUUCGGAACUGGAAUCUAUGACUUAGUGGCGGACGGGUGAGUAACGCGUGAGCAAUCUGCCUUUCAGAGGGGGAUAACAGCCGGAAACGGCUGCUAAUACCGCAUAAUGCUUUUGAGCGGCAUCGCUUGAAAGCCAAAGAUUUAUCGCUGAAAGAUGGUCUCGCGUCUGAUUAGCUAGUUGGUGGGGUAACGGCUCACCAAGGCGACGAUCAGUAGCCGGACUGAGAGGUUGGCCGGCCACAUUGGGACUGAGACACGGCCCAG
rnacentral:rRNA from 1 species